rnacentral:rRNA from 1 species
AGCGAACGCUGGCGGCAGGCUUAACACAUGCAAGUCGAGGGGCCGUAGCAAUACGGCACCGGCAGACGGGAGAGUAACACGUGGGAACGUGCCUAUCAGUUCGGAACAACCCAGGGAAACUUGGGCUAAUACCGGAUACGCCCUUACGGGGAAAGAUUUAUCGCUGAUAGAGCGGCCCGCGUCUGAUUAGCUAGUUGGUGAGGUAACGGCUCACCAAGGCGACGAUCAGUAGCUGGCUGAGAGGAUGAUCAGCCUCACUGGGACUGAGACACGGCCCAGACUCCUACGGGAGGCAGCAGUGGGGAAUAUUGGACAAUGGGCGCAAGCCUGAUCCAGCCAUGCCGCGUGGAUGAUGAAGGCCUUAGGGUUGUAAAAUCCUUUCGGCGGGGAAGAUAAUGAUGGUACCCGCAGAAGAGGCCCCGGCUAACUUCGUGCCAGCAGCCGCGGUAAU